CAAACCGAUAUUGGCCAAUUAGAAAGCUCUAGAAAGUGAGAAAUUCCCAAACAGUCCCACCCUCUCUUCUCUCUCCCCCCGUUUCUGCGACAGCCUUUCUACCCUCCCUCUCCGUCGAUUUUCCGGCCACCAAAGCCUACAACUGGCCGACUCCACCUCCUCCUCACCAGCACUACUCCGGCGACUCCCCCUUCCUAUUUCCAAUCGGUUUUAACGCAGAAAAGAGAGGAAAAACGGGGCUGAGGUAUUUUCCGAUUCAAGCUCCAUCUGCUCUUUCGGGUCACCUGAGCUCGAUCUUGGAAAACUAGACUUUCUUCACGCCACCAUCGCCUCUCUGGUCACCACUCCUUCCGGUUCCGGCCUGUUUUGGCGUUGCAAACAAGAGAGAGAGCUGCUGCCAUCUCUUUUCUUCCUGAUAGUCGCAGCAGCACUUCUCUCUCAUCUCCGGCGACUCCAACAACGACCGGUAGACUUCAACCCUUUCUCGUCGAUGGCGUAGCUCCGCUCUCUCCUUCUCCAUCGUCAUUCACCGCCUGGCGCAGCAAAUCAUAAGGAGCUGCGAUAUUGCUCUUCGAUCGGGACAGCGCCACUUUUCUUUUUCUUGUCCUUUUUUGGUGAGACCGGCUAGGGACCGGCCAACUACACUCCCUCCUCACCUCCAGCGUAUCUCUGGAUACCUUCCCAUCCUUUUCCGGUCAAGUUAGCAGGCGGCAGUAGGGAUAUUCGAAUUUAGUUGCAACUGCCGGUCAUUUUACCCGAAAAAUUUUGAUUCCCGGCUUAUUUUGCAGCUAGGAAGUAGAUUCUCUCCACUCCUACAAAAGCUCUAUUCUUUCACCACAGAGUAAGAAAUGUAAUCUUUAUUUUCAAUAAUUAUUUUGAUUAUGUUGGUAGUUGUAUGAGAACAAAUUCUAUCUUAGAUUUCAUUUGAACUUCGCAGCUGUACGAUUAUUAAAUCACUUGUUAUAUAUAGAUAUUGGAUUGUUAUCAUUAUAUUGAACAGUCUAAUUGAAAUAUUUUCAUUGGGCUUGACUUCU